GUAAACUAGUCUGACUUCGUCUGAUUUACGGGGCAACAUCAGAGAAGGCAGCAUGGAGAGGAAGAACAAAAAACGAGGUAAAACGACGCAGAAAAACGAAGUUAAAGUAUCGGAAGACGAAGUUGCAGCUGAGGCUGACGAUGCAACAGAAACAGAAGUGAAGAAACCGAAACUGUCUACAAGAGAAAUUAGCGAUGUGAAUCACGUCAUCAACCUCACUAUUGAACACUGCAAAUCCUGACGAGUGUUUGAGCGUAGAGCUACGGAACUUGCUGAUGCUCUACGCAGUCACUUCAGUGAAGUGAACCUGACCUUAAACCCUGAGAAGCCACGCCGUGGCAGCUUUGAGAUCACUCUGAACACCGAGGAUGGAUCAGAUGUCCUCGUGUGGACCGGCCUCAAGAAGGGCCCUCCAAGGAAACUGAAGUUCCCGGACAGUGAUGUCAUAGCCAAGGAGAUUCAAAA